AAAGCCAGCGUUUAUCCCCACUCCACCUCACUGUAAAGCCAGCGUAGAACAGCUAACGCUAUCGCCCCUAUCAUUUUCAUGGAGCGAAGAAAAGCUGGCGUAUUACCCCCACUCCACGCAAUGCAAAGUAGCAUUUAAACGCUGAGCUAACGCUACUUAACCGACAAGAAGAAGAACUGUGUAUAAUAAAAAUGGAGUACUCCAAUUAUUAUGAACAGUACAUCGCGUACGUUGAAUAUUAUAGACGUACAGUGGCAGCUGCAGUUGCAGCAGAGGUUGUAAGGAGACGACGCAUAGCCGCUACAGCUGCAGCUAUAUAUUUAAUGAAAAAGAAAAGAAGAUACGCGAAGAAAAGGUUUUAGGUAGCACCCAUUUUUGAAAAUCGUGAUGUACAUAGUUUUUUCUUUGCGUCGGUCCCGAAGUUAAUAUUGAAGAACAUACGUUUCCACAAUUAAUUAUUUUCGGAUGACCGCAACUCAGUUGGAAGAAUUGUUGGGCAUGGUUGGACCAAGAUUGCAAAAGCAGGACGUCAUUCGACAAAGUAUCUCACCAGCUGAACGGUUGGCAUUAACAUUGAGAUAUCUUGCUUCCGGGGACUCCAUGAUAUCGAUGUCCUACCAAUAUCUCGUGGGAGUGACAACAGCGGGUAAUAUCAACCAUGAAACCUGCAAAGCAAUAUGAGAUGUUUUAUGCCCUUUAGUUCUUUCGGGUCGACUGGAAGAAGGAGACUGGGUGGAUAUCGCCAAUGAUUUUAACGAAAGAUGGAAUUUCGUUCAUUGCAUUGGAGCCAUUGAUGGCAAGCACGUCACCAUUCAAUGUCCCAAAAAUGCUGGAUCAGCGUUUUAUAAUUAUAAACACAGUCACAGCAUAGUUCUCAUGGCUAUCUGCGAUGCAAAUUAUAUAAUACGUUUUGUGGAUAUCGGGGCAUACGGACGACGAAGUGAUGGUGGCGUCUUCAAAGAAAGUGCUAUGGGGAAAGCAUUCGAAUAAGGUAGAAUGAAUAUUCCACAACCAGCAGCGCUUGGAGAAGGAGGACCAAUUUUACCAUAAUACUGUCUUGUGGGAGAUGAAGCCUUUCCUUUGAAACCAUACUUGCUUCGUCCGUAUCCAGGUAGAGGACUGACACCAGAGCAAGAAAUGUACAAUUACCGUCUGAGUCGUGCGAGACGAAUAAUAGAAAACGUAUUUGGUAUACUCGCCAGUCAAUGGAGAGUAUACAGAAAACCAAUUAUCGCCAGUCCUGAUAACGCAAAGUUAAUGGUUCAAGCAACUGUUUGUUUGCAUAAUUGGCUUCGCCGGCAGGACAUUGAUGAGAACGCAUAUGUGCCUCCGGGUUUGAUCGAUGAUCCGCGCACUGUCCAAAUGGCUUCAGACCAGGGUCUUGGCGUGUCAUCAUGGAAGAUGGAUGCGCAUUCAGAGACAUCUCAAACUGUGGAUCGAACAUGAGUGCCCGACAAUGCAUAGAAAUUCGAAAUGAAUUUUGUCGUUAUUUUAAUAACGAAGGAGCAGUGCCGUGGCAAUAUGAAAGAUGUAUGUAAAUAAAUGUGUCUGUGCCUUUUUUAUUUGAAAUAGGAAAUACAUUAAUAAUUACUCAUAAUGUAUAUUUCCUGGUAAUAGAUAUUCAGUUUUCAAAUAGAUGGAACCCAAUCCGGGUUGUUUCAUAUCCGUUUGUUGCGACCAAAAAGUUAUAUAUAUAUACCUAUGUGUGUGUGUGUAGUAUGUUCUUAAAAAUUAAUAAAGCAUCUAGAAAUGCAUUUUUUUUAAGCUAAAAAGCAGAACGAUUAUUUUACCU